rnacentral:lncRNA from 1 species
CUUGAUUACUAGGCGCACCCUCCAGGAAGUGAGACGAAUCCAAGAUCAGAUGUUUUCAGUUGUCAGAGGACCAGAGGUCCAAAUAACACCUGAACAAUGUGAAACUAACAAAUUUUUGCUAAUGAGCACAAGAAUGUGAAAAUCAGCUUGUUCUUGUCAAAAGAAUUCAUCCACUUGGUUUCUUUCAUGAUGAUCAGGUCAGGAAAAGCCAUCUGCUUUCUUCCACAGAUACUGAUCUGGCAUCAUUUUGCAGUCACAAAAACGGCAGCAAAGCUUCCUGCAACACUUUCUUCAUAUUGAGUUGUAUUCUUUGGACAAAGAAAUUGAAACAGUGGAAGAAUAAGAAUGGCAAACUCAUCUGUCGGUGCCUCAGUCAUUCAGGCUAUCUUGAUUUUUUUGUUGAGUAUCAACUUUGGGUAUAGUUAGACAUGAGGACAUGAGGACAUAGUGGUCCUUACAAGGGCGUUGUCCCCCAGUUCCACCAGUGAAGUUUGUGGUCAG